GUCCAGUAGAAAGAGUUCGCGACCGGUUUGCCCUGCGAAGACGCCAGCUAAAAAGUGGCUCCAUCGGGGGCAGUAUCGCAACAAACCAUAGCUGCUCACGCCUAAAUGAGGUGUGGCAAUACAGAUGAGGGUGUGCGGCUCCAGACCCGCGACCUUCGUAGUUCCUUCGGUGUCAUCGAACAGCGUCUCGAGGGCGCUCCGCACAUACAGUCCGCCGAGGCUAAAACCGACGAGCGAGAUCCACUGAAGCCGCGACCGAUAGUCAGCAACAACGUGCUCUAUUUCCGCAGCGACACGCUUGCCACCUGAACUGAUCCCGUCGGUGGUGCGACGCCAGUUGCACUGCACGGUGUGCACCAGCAAGCCACGCUGCUGCAGUGCGUGCGCGAGGUACGUAAGGUCGCCGGGUGCUCCCUGCAGUCCGUGCACUAGAAAGCAAACAUGUUUGCUCGAUGUGUUUGACGUUUCCAUUUGGAGCUGGAGUUUUGAAGCCGCGUCCCGAGGCGGCGCGCGCCGCUGCGUGUUUACAGCCCGACCUGAACGGGGCAACGGCGUUCGUCUGGACGUGAGGGCAAGGUUGCUAUUGUGGCAGCGUUGCGCCUUGUCGAUGCCAAGUAACAGGACGUGUACUUCGCCAGCAAACAUAAGCUGGCCUUUGCGGUUGAUGCCUGUUUUCGUCGUCGGCCAACAGGUCGGACUAGUCAGGACUGCAACGAGCCGCGCGCAUAACGCUUUGCUACGGUUGCAGCCAUGCCCGCUCCGAAAGGUGUCCACGUAUCAGCGUCCAAACGCUCUUCUGACGCAAUAAGGCGAUGCUUUCGGCAACAUGGGCUCUCGAAUAGCAACCUUCGGUGCACUUUACUGGAAAACACCCAUACGGAUUGUGCCCAACGAGUUACAGCAUUGGAGCGUUUACUCCACGUAGCGCGCGUCGGCUUCGUACGCGCACACACAAACACACACACACAUGGAUAGGGUCACUGCUCAUGGACACUUGGCUCGGUUUGUGCUUCGUGUCCAAGCUAGUCGUCGUUGCGUCCAGUCAAGUCGCCGAAGAGAAAUCAGUAUACCUGUCGCGUGCCGGUAUCAGGCGCUGAAGCCUCUGUCCUGACUUUUUGCAAAAUGCAUCAGCAGCAUCAUGUCGCUCGUAUUCGAGGAGCGGCGGAAAAAGCACAUGCUCAUUGCAAGGAAUGCAGUGGUCUCCAGUACGGACCUCGAAUAAGACCAGCACUCGGAACGCCACUCCAACGAGUGUCCACGCACGAAAGCGAUCUCCAGUCAGUGCUGUAUCGUUCGUAUCUCGCACAGUCUUUGAACUUGCACGUGGUCGUUUGCGCUGUGGGUCAAGGGCGCUCAGCUGCCGUAGUCCUUGCGUGCAGUCGGUACCUCACUGAUAUCCGAUACUGUUAUUGCUGGAUCAAAUUGCCGACGACGCGUUUUGUCGCAAGCACUUCUGAAGCACCGGCUUGACCGGUGCAUCGUUGAAACACAUUUUCCAUUCAGUCGUUUCGCGCCUCUGCAGAAGGACUCGUGGCAUCGUGGUCGGCACUGCUCGCUGUACAUUCGCGUGCAGACUGGUCGGUUGCAUGCCAGCCGCGGUUGUAGCGUGUGAACAGCUCAUCCAACUCUGCAAGUCGUUUCGGCCCGAUACUGCGCUCCUCGAGGCACAUUCCAGCCUCAGGUCCACCGUAAACC
rnacentral:misc_RNA from 1 species